AAGCUCCCAGUGCCAUCAAACAAUCAAAUUCUAUUUAACAAAAUUAAAACGGCUGCGUGGAUUAUUGUGGCUGUUGGUUAAGAAUAUUUUAAUGGGGGAAAGGGAUUUACACAUUUUGGAGGAGAAGGGAAUUUGGACAUGUAAGUUGUGCAAUUAGG
rnacentral:sRNA from 1 species